AGGGCUUUCAGACAUAAUUUUAACACUACCUGUAUAAAACAUGUUUGAUAUUAAUGAUUCGAAAUGGGGAAGUGUCACAACUCCUGCAUCUGACACCUGAGUUUGACUGAGUAAGUGUGUUUUGAUUUGUUUUUUCCUUUGGGUGAGUGAGGCAUGCUUGGUGUGUUUUUGUUCUGGUUUUCUUCCCUCCCUUCUCUCAGUUUUUGAAUCUUGGGCUGGCUUCCUGGGUUGCCACAAGCUGCACCUGCUUGUAAUCACCCACCUGUUCCUGAUCAGCUAUCCCUACCUCUUCUUAAGGAGACGCCAGACAUCCAUUCUCUGCCGAUCGCCUGUUCAACCUGCUCAUCCACCCUGCUAGUUCCAAGCUUCUUGAGCCAAGAUCCAACCCUUCCAGCCACGCCAGCCAGCCCUCACUUUCCAACUGCUUGGAAGGAGACACCCUGCCACAGUUUGCUAGCUUUGCCUCAAUAAACCUAAUAAACUAUUUAACUGCU